rnacentral:rRNA from 1 species
CUACGUAGGGGGCGAGCGUUGUCCGGAAUGAUUGGGCGUAAAGGGCGCGUAGGCGGCGCGGUAAGUCUGGAGUGAAAGUCCUGCUUUCAAGGUGGGAAUUGCUUUGGAUACUGCCGCGCUUGAGUGCAGGAGAGGUUAUCGGAAUUCCCGGUGUAGCGGUGAAAUGCGUAGAGAUCGGGAGGAACACCAGUGGCGAAGGCGGGUAACUGGACUGCAACUGACGCUGAGGCGCGAAAGUGUGGGGAGCAAACAGGAUUAGAUACCCUGGUAGUCGACACUGUAAACGAUGAAUGCUAGGUGUAAGAGGUAUCGACCCCUUUUGUGCCGGAGUCAACACAAUAAGCAUUCCGCCUGGGGAGUACGGCCGCAAGGUUGAAACUCAAAUGAAUUGGCGGGG